CAGAAUCUGGAUGCCUGCUUUUUAACCUUCCAUUCUUUAUCAACACCCUUUCAAAGUCAGAACACCGAAGAGAUGCACCUUCACGGUUUUAGUGUUAGGGAAGUUCCAGGUGCUGAUACGUCAUUCAAGCUACCUUUGCAUACAUUUGGUCUUGCUUCCUACAAGUUUAAAGUUUCAUUUUGGAACCCAAAUGGAGUUUAUGGAUGUCCAAAGGUCAAUUCCCUGUUGCGGGCUGCUGACAACUGGCUUAAGCGUUUGCAAGUAAACCAUCCUGAUUUUACGUUCUUUAUCUCCCACAACUCAAACUGGAGAUGAUUGGGAGUUCUUUGAUGGAGCUAUGAACCUGAAAUGAAGGGAUGCAUAUUAGGACCUUCAGUCCUGAAAGAGAACCCUAUUCCACAAUGUUCUUUGUUUUUAAUCAUAUGAAUUUGUUAACGAUCAGGAUUCCCAGCCUAAAGUUAAGUUGGCUACGAAACCGUGUUCCCGUACUGAACAGCCAAAGAAUGAUCUUGAGUGUUGACUUUAAUGUGGGGCAUUACAUAUUCAGAGAUAUUUGAAGAGGCUUUGUGAUUGAUAGUCAUUACUCCUUAUGGUGUAUUGAUCUAUGUAUUGUUUUGAACUUACAGUUGCUACAAUUUUUGAAUAAGGUUUUCAGAAGAUGAUGAAAAAAAUUAAAGUGAUUUUUGUAAUUAGUUGUUUCGUCGUAGUAUGUGCAGCAUGCGUGCUUGUAUCAACGGC
rnacentral:misc_RNA from 1 species